rnacentral:rRNA from 1 species
UACGUAGGGUGCAAGCGUUGUCCGGAAUUAUUGGGCGUAAAGAGCGUGUAGGCGGCCCGAUUAGUCCGCUGUGAAAGUCCAGGGCUUAACCCUGGAAUGCCGGUGGAUACUGUCGGGCUAGAGUCCGGAAGGGGCGAGUGGAAUUCCUGGUGUAGCGGUGAAAUGCGCAGAUAUCAGGAGGAACACCAAUGGCGAAGGCAGCUCGCUGGGACGUGACUGACGCUGAGACGCGAAAGCGUGGGGAGCAAACAGG